UAACGUUGAAUACACCACAUUUAAGCUUUGGGAACAUCUAAGGUUUUAUGUAUAAAUGAGAAAUUGCAUUGUCAGAUUCAAGCAUCUUAGUUGAAUGCAUUUAAAAUUGACCCAUAAUCUCUCUUAUCAGACAGAAUACAGUGAAUUGUGUGGCAUAUGGAUAUCCAAUGAAUUUACAUAUAGAACGUAAUACAUUUACUAUCCUCACCAAAGACUAACAUGAACAUAUUAAUAUAACAUUGAGAUGCGUAAAAUGUUAAAAAGGCUAACAUGAACAACAUUAACUUAGCAUUGAGAUGCUGAAUUAGGUAAAUUGUGAUAUUACAGGUUUAAGAUAGCUGGCUCAACCAAGUUUAUUCAGAAACCUGAGAAAUUUUCUGGAAAUAAAAAGCUAACAAAGAAAACACUAGUUUAUUCAGAAGGAAGGGAAUUAGACUGCCCAAACUUUGUUAUAAAUCACUCGGCAUUAGAAUUCAGUCACGAGUUUCUAACUUAGUAGGAAGAUGCUGUUCUGUAUGAAGAAUUCCAAUUAACGUUUUUGCCGUCGCCAUGCAUGAAUUCUGCUUUUAUGCAGAAGGCUAAGAGGAGCAUCACCUUUAAAAAAAAAGUGCUGCACAGUUACUUCCAUGCACGAGCUUCUGAAUAUCUAAUUUGACAUUUAUGUGUAAAAUGAUAAAACUUCUUACCUCUCAUGUUUGUCAUUCUGUAAUGUUUUUGCUGUGAAAGAUAUUUGAUUAGCAGCAUCGUCGCUUGAUUUUGAUGCAUUGAGAUAACAUACUUGCAUUAAUUUCUUGAAACUGAACAAAAAAUACAAUAGAAAAUAAAGAGAAAACACAUAAAUCGUCUAUGGAUGACAUCUGUUGAUAUUUGAUGAUGUGACCGUUAUGGAUGAAAAUGAAACAUGUGAAGUAAAUGAUUCAAUUUACAAAGCAAAGAAGUCUGCACCCAAAAAAAAGAAAGAAGCUUUUUCGGAAGAAAAAAGGAGAAAGAUGUGACCAAAAUCAUUCAGUUUAUGUAUAUUGCAGUUGAUAACAGAUUUUGUAAGUCGAAUGAUAGAAAUGUAUCAACGUAGGGAAGGGAAUAACAACAAGUGUUUUUGAAAAUGAAAGAAAGAAACAUUCACAAAAGCGAAAAAAAGCAUAAACUAAAGGCAUCAGAAAUAAACUAAGAGCAAACCUCUCGGAUUCAACUUCAACAAAAUGUUUAUCUGUAAGAGAAAAUAUGAAUAACGAUGAAAAUUCUAAGAUAUGUUGCAUGUAUUUAUAGCCACAGAACACUUUUGAAAACCACAGAGAAAUAACAAUGGUAUAGAUUUUAAGAUAAUUUCCUUCAAAUUAAAGUUAUUUACAGCUGUUGUAUUUGGCUUUUUUGUUUAAAAAAGUUAGAAGGCUG
rnacentral:lncRNA from 1 species